rnacentral:rRNA from 1 species
CCUUUGACGUUAGCGGCGGACGGGUGAGUAACACGUGGGUAACCUACCUAUAAGACUGGGAUAACUUCGGGAAACCGGAGCUAAUACCGGAUAACAUUUGGAACCGCAUGGUUAUAAAGUGAAAGAUGGUUUUGCUAUCACUUAUAGAUGGACCCGCGCCGUAUUAGCUAGUUGGUAAGGUAACGGCUUACCAAGGCGACGAUACGUAGCCGACCUGAGAGGGUGAUCGGCCACACUGGAACUGAGACACGGUCCAG